rnacentral:rRNA from 1 species
AACGCGAAGAACCUUACCCAGACUUGACAUGCAGAUGACAGCUCUAGAAAUAGAGUCUUCCUUCGGGACAUCUGCACAGGUGCUGCAUGGCUGUCGUCAGCUCGUGCCGUGAGGUGUUGGGUUAAGUCCCGCAACGAGCGCAACCCUUAUCAUUAGUUGCCAACAUUUAAGGUGGGAACUCUAAUGAGACUGCCUGGGUUAACCAGGAGGAAGGUGAGGAUGACGUCAAGUCCGCAUGGCCCUUAUGUCUGGGGCUACACACGUGCUACAAUGGUCGGUACAGAAGGCAGCGAACCCGCAAGGCGAAGCAAAUCCCCAAAACCGGCCCCAGUUCAGAUUGUAGUCUGCAACUCGACUACAUGAAGACGGAAUUGCUAGUAAUGACGAGUCAGCAACAUCGUCGUGAAUACGUUCCCGGGCCUUGUACACACCGAGACGAC